AAGAAGGGAUUUUUCAAAAUUCCCCUGCGGGGGGAAGAGGGAGAGAAUUAACCUGAACGGCUUCUACUAUACCAUUUUAGAUGUGAUUUUUUGUUUUCAACUACGUUUAGUCUUCAUUGAGUACUUAGAUAAUUGCAUUUAUUUCACUUACAGCUAUUAUUAUUAUUUCAAAAAUACUGAAUUAUAGAGGUAAAAAUAAAAAGCAUUUCCGAAAAAGAGAUAUUAUUGCAUUUUAUUUGAGAUGGACAGUAAAAAAGGUAAAAUAUAUAGGAAAUUCUAUCUUUUAUGACACUUUUCAAAACUAUUCCAUUCCUUCUAUCUUCAGGAGAUUGCUAAAGAAACAAGAUCAAUUAUCUGCAGCAAAAAAAUAUGAAGAUGCUUCACUUUUGGUAUUUGAUGAAAGCAUUCCAGAUUUAGACGUUUCACUUUCUUCAGAAGAAGUUUCACUUCCUCCAGAGAUUCUAUAUAUGUUAAAUAGUAUCAGGUAA